rnacentral:lncRNA from 1 species
AUGUCCCUAACCUUGGAAAAUCUCACAAAAUCGUACAUGUUACCAUUAACAUUACGCUUCUUAGCAACAUACAUAUUUUCCAAAUUUCCACAUACUUCGAAAGCUUUUCUUAAAAUGAAAAUGAGGAAUUUGUUCCGGAAAGUUCGUGAAAUAGAAAGUGACAAACCUUUUGUAAGGAGAACUCGGAAAAGCACCAGAACCAUCAUCCCUUGCCGCACGCAAUCGUUAUGGAUAAGCU